GACGAACGCUGGCGGCGUGCUUAACACAUGCAAGUCGAACGGAAAGGCCCUGCUUUUGUGGGGUGCUCGAGUGGCGAACGGGUGAGUAACACGUGAGUAACCUGCCCUUGACUUUGGGAUAACUUCAGGAAACUGGGGCUAAUACCGGAUAGGAUCUCCUGCUGCAUGGUGGGGGUUGGAAAGUUUCGGCGGUUGGGGAUGGACUCGCGGCUUAUCAGCUUGUUGGUGGGGUAGUGGCUUACCAAGGCUUUGACGGGUAGCCGGCCUGAGAGGGUGAACGGCCACAUUGGGACUGAGAUACGGCCCAGACUCCUACGGGAGGCAGCAGUGGGGAAUAUUGCACAAUGGGCGGAAGCCUGUUGCAGCAACGCCGCGUGCGGGAUGACGGCCUUCGGGUUGAAAACCGCUUUCGCCUGUGACGAAGCGUGAGUGACGGUAAUGGGUAAAGAAGCACCGGCUAACUACGUG
rnacentral:rRNA from 1 species